UUCCAGACUCCUACGGGAGGCAGCAGUGGGGAAUAUUGCGCAAUGGGCGAAAGCCUGACGCAGCGACGCCGCGUGAGCGAUGAAGUAUUUCGGUAUGUAAAGCUCUCUCAGCAGGGAAGAAGAUGACGGUACCUGACUAAGAAGCCCCGGCUAACUACGUGCCAGCAGCCGCGGUAAUACGUAGGGGGCAAGCGUUAUCCGGAUUUACUGGGUGUAAAGGGAGCGUAGACGGCGAUGCAAGCCAGAUGUGAAAGCCCGGGGCUCAACCCCGGGACUGCAUUUGGAACUGUGUGGCUGGAGUGCCGGAGAGGCAGGCGGAAUUCCUAGUGUAGCGGUGAAAUGCGUAGAUAUUAGGAGGAACACCAGUGGCGAAGGCGGCCUGCUGGACGAUGACUGACGUUGAGGCUCGAAAGCGUGGGGAGCAAACAGGAUUAGAUACCCUCGUAUA
rnacentral:rRNA from 1 species